rnacentral:rRNA from 1 species
AUUGAACGCUGGCGGCAGGCCUAACACAUGCAAGUCGAACGCGUCGCGGACGGGUGAGUCAUGUCGGGGAAACUGCCUGAAGGAGGGGGAUAACUACUGGAAACGGUAGCUAAUACCGCAUACCAUCAGAUGUGCCCAGAUGGGAUUAGCUUGUUGGUGGGGUAACGGCUCACCAGGGCGACGAUCCAUAGCUGGUCUGAGAGGAUGACCGGCCACACUGGAACUGAGACACGGUCCAGACUCCUACGGGAGGCAGCAGUGGGGAAUAUUGCACAAUGGGCGAAAGCCUGAUGGAGCCAUGCCGCGUGUAUGAAGAAGGCCUUCGGGUUGUAAAGUACUGUCAGCGGGGAGGCGUUACCCGCAGAAGAAGCACCGGCUAACUCCGUGCCAGCAGCCGCGGUAAUAC